rnacentral:lncRNA from 1 species
UGAAGCCAUUUACACAAACAGACAGACAUCUGUAACUUGAUGAUAAACUCCUGUUUUCUCAACCUUGUUCUUGAAGAAAUUAAGGCCUAAAUCUGCAGUAUGUCAGAGAAAUUUGAUGGAGUAACUAUCUGACAAUAUUACUUGGACAUUCACAUUGGAUAAACUACUAGCGACCAUGAAAAGUUUUGUGUUCAGGAAUUGUGGCUUCUAAACUGGAUCGUCUUGAUGACAAUCUGUGGGCAAGUGUGGGCUCUUGGCGUCGGGUUUCUCCCCUCAACAGCAAAGUGGUCCUGCCUUCCUCACUGAUCUUCCGUGGCCAUUUACCAUCUGUCAAAGAAGCAUAUGUAAGUGUGUAUCCCCUCUGGCUUCUCAGUUCUUUUCCCUUGGUUGGUUUGCAAGUGUUUGUACCAACCAGCAGCUCUCUCUUUUAAUUGUUAUAAUUCUAGGUUUCUUAACCUCUCCUCUUCCCUCUCUUCCUUCUGCUGCUGCUGUUGCUGUUCUUUUGUUUUUCACUUCUAAGCUUGAUAUUGACUUGUUAACUUCCACAAGAAUUCCUUUCAUGGUUUUCAUUAAAAUUUCACUUAAUAUAUUUAUAAAAUUUGUGAGAAUUGAUGUCUUUGUGGUAUUGAAUUUUCCUGUCCAAGAACAGGUGAUAACUGCUCCCUUUGUUUACUCUUUCUUAAAGUUGUUUAGUAAAGCUUUAUAGCUUUCUGUUUAGAUAUCUUGCAUAACUUUUUGCUAGAUUUAUGCCCAGAUGUUUUCCAGUUUGUUGUUUUAAUAGUUGAAACUGGUAACUUCAAAUGGUGACUUAAAAAAUAUAAAUGGUUUAUUUGCUUUCAAGCAGAAUGAACUACUUUGUGACAAGACUGCAUUUCUAUGCAGAAAAUUUUGAGAAGGGAGAAAAAUUUAAAAGCAUAAAUUUAAAGGCUUCAGAGAGCUGUUGGCUAUGAUAGGAUCAUUUGCUGACCUGGCACAGGCUAGAGCCUCAGAAUCUAGGUUUGAACAAAGCUGAGGUCUUCUAUUUUAGGACAGGAAUUAUUAGAGCUUUUGGCCAAAAUCAGAGAUGUGAGGAUUUUCAAACACAAGGCUAGUUACAGGCUCAAUACACUUACUAAAUUCAGAAGCUUCCCAUGGAAGGCUAAAGAAUUCAACCAAACUUCUAUGAAACAGAUUAAAAUCUCCUGCAGUAAUGUGGUGUUUAGGAAUAAAAGACCUACUAUGGGGAGGGUUUGAGAACA